CUCUGAACAAAUUAAGACAAGAAAACCUCAUCAUAGGUUUGACUUAGGGUUGCCAAAGUUGUACAUGAUUUGAAGACUGAUAAAAACAACAGCAAGCAUGCAUGUUACAAUAAUAAUAAUAAUCAUCCACUCUUUUUACCUACUCUUGAGUCACAAAAGGCAUCCAGGGCAUCAAGAAAAUUAAUAAGACAAUCCUUGCCUUCAGGUUUACAAACAACAAUAUACAACAGGAAAAAGAAAAGGGAGGAAUGAAGAGUGAAGAAGUAAGACACAGUGCAAAUGAUUUUUUAAAGAAAAUUUUAUUCAAAAAAUGAAGUUUCCAGUUUCCAAUGGGCUGAAAAGAAAAUAAGAGUGAACAAUAAAGACCUUCUUCCAAAUCGUGACUCUGUAAUAUCAACAUGGCUGGUGCAGAUAGCUGUACAGAAGAUUGCAACUGAAUCAGUACAGGCCUCCCCAGCUUAAAGAAAUGAGAAGGGGAAUGAGAUGCUAUUUUUGGUUAUUUUAUCUGAGCAAGCUAGAGAUUUCUGAAGAAGUGCUACAAAUGUCAUCACAAAAUUGUAUUAGGAAAGGACAAAGGAAUGAGACUUGACUGCUUCCUUCAAAAUAGCAGCAAAAUAGAUGAUGGUGGAUUAAAAGAGGGGAAAAAUUCCCCAUCAGGAAAUGUUCAUCAUUUUACCUUUAGAACAAAUAAUUCCAUGAAACACUGAUCAUUUGAACUUACAGAAGUGGUUGAAUAAAAUGUGUCACCUUAUGCAAUUUAUCUGCUUGAGAACACUGGAGACUAAUCAGAUGCUGCUUUGAGGAGCGUUGAAACAAAUGUGAGAAAACCAAUUUGACUUCAGAAAUGUCAGAUUCAAGUACUCUGCUGUGAAGCUUCAGGAACUCAAAUGUUUCUGCCAUUGCAAAUUCCCCUACCCAGUACUUGCAUUAUAUUUCAAAAAAGUAUUUUCCUUCCCUGAAAACAGCACUUCACUUCUGUAAAUCGAGAAAUGCAUAUGAAAUCUAUGAGGCAUGACCUCAGAAGAAAUUUAAUCAACUGCAAAAUACUAAAAGCUAAUUAAACUAAAUCUUUACUCUUGGAUAAAUGGCUUUGUGGUUGAAAUUUCCGUUCCUUUUACUUUGCAUAGAUUGAUAGUGGUAAUUUUGCUUGAAAGAAACAAAGUCACAGAUUAAAAUUUGUUUCACAUGAAAGUCCAUACAAAAUGGACGAGACAUGACUGUUUCUGAGAAAAGCCAAAGCUGUUCCUAAUCUUCCAUGAAAUGUUUUGGGAUGUCAGGCUAACAAUACAGACAUCAGAUAUGUCUGGGCGGAGCUUAGUAUAGUUGAUGGAUCAAAUCUAAAACCAACCUUAGUCCUUUCGUUAGUUUGUUUGUUUUGGUCCUAUUAGGUAACAUACCAAGGGAGUGAACCUAAAUCACAGAGUUUACCAUUCUUCCAACAUACUUCUACAUAGUGACUUCUUCACCCUCCUUCUCUCAGGAGCAGCUUCCAAGGCAGUUGAGAGAAGUUCUGCAGCUGAGAGAAGAGGUUAGAUGUUGCCCUUGCAGCACAAGUUUGUUCUCUAAAUGUCUGGGACAGUUUCUUCAGGUUGAAGAAAUGCAUUCAGACACAGCUUGGAUACUGCCCUCCCUACCUGAACAGUUUGUGUAAGGCAGUGAUUCUCAACCUGUGGGUCACCAGGUGUUUUGGCUUACAACUCCCAGAAAUCCAAGCCAGUUUACCAGCUGUUAGGAUUUCUGGGAAUUGAAGGACAAAAACAUCUGGGAACCUCAGGUUGAGAACCACUGGAGUAAGGCAAAUAACUGAGAACCACUGGACUGCAUGGCAAAUAACUGGUUUCUUUCUUCAGCCAUGCCUCUAAAAUGGCAUAAAUGGGUAUCA